rnacentral:rRNA from 1 species
AUUGAACGCUGGCGGCAGGCCUAACACAUGCAAGUCGAGCGAGCGGCGGACGGGUGAGUAAUGUCUGGGAAACUGCCUGAUGGAGGGGGAUAACUACUGGAAACGGUAGCUAAUACCGCAUACCAUCAGAUGUGCCCAGAUGGGCUUAGCUAGUAGGUGGGGCAAUGGCUCACCUAGGCGACGAUCCCUAGCUGGUUUGAGGGGAUGACCAGCCACACUGGAACUGAGACACGGUCCAGACUCCUACGGGAGGCAGCAGUGGGUAAUAUUGCACAAGUGGCGCAAGCCUGAUGCAGCCAUGCCGCGUGUAUGAAGAAGGCCUUCGGGUUGUAAAGUACUUUCAGCGGGGAGGCGUUACCCGCAGAAGAAGCACCGGCUAACUCCGUGCCAGCAGCCGCGGUAAUAC